CGUUCUCCCCGUGCCUUCUUGUGUUUUCUCCGAGAUCUUCGGUUUCCUCCCACACUCCAAAGACGUGCAAGUUUGUAGGUUAAUUGGCUUGUUAAAUGUAAAACAUUGUCCAUAGUGCGUGUAGGGUUAAUCGUGGAAGUGUUUGGA